rnacentral:lncRNA from 1 species
GAUGGAGUACAUUGGGUCAGGAUUGGAUAGCAAGAGUCGUCGGUGAUGUUAAUUAUUUUUUCAUGCCGGAAAUUUGUAUUUAUGGAUAAUUUUCUUCACAGUGUGAACAUAUUUGUUUUCCAUAUACAAUAAUUUGUUCACGUGUGGAGACAAUUGUUCAGUUUGUAGACUAAUUUGUUUACAAUGUUAAAUUAUUUGUGAAUUCUGUUUAAAAUUUUAUUCAGGAAAAACAUCAUUUGUUACUAUUGUUCAAAUAUUUGUAUGCAGCAGUAAAAAUAUUCAAGCUUAUUAAAAAUAAUCUUUGUAAAAAAGAUCAUCCAAACAUAGUCAAUUGUGGUCUUAUUUUGAAUGUCUUGUUGUAAGAAAUAUAAUAAUGGCAUAAAAGUUAUAUUAUUUUUAAGGUUUGUUGUAAUUAAUAUAAUGAUGACAUAAUAAGUGUGAUCUUAUUUUGGAAACCUUGCUGUAAUUUCUGGAUAUUGCUUAUGACACAUCUCGGACAAUUGGAAUUAUUCUUCUUUAAUUUAGUUGAUCAACGAAUGGUAAAUCGAUUAAUGAGAUUAAUUUGGAGUUCCUCACAUGAAUCACUUCCACUCCCAUGCAUGACGCAAUGCGCACCCGCUAAUGAUCGAUCUUAUUGCUAGUGUUUGAUGACCAGAAAUAAAUUUCUUCGUUCAGGAAAAACAGAAGCUAAUUUCUUUGUAAUUCCACCGCUACAUGCACUUGUCUUGCUAACUAUUCCC